rnacentral:lncRNA from 1 species
AUACAUGCCUGGUUUCAAACCCGAAGGUUUUUAAUCUUGCUCAACAAUAAUAUAUAAUUCAACAUAUAUGUAUACGGGUAAUUGACAAAGGUAUAUCAACAUGUGAAUAAAUGUCAUGAUUAUCCAAGUAGGGACACUUGUAUAACUAUUUAGAAAUCAACUUAACAGAAUAUAUAUAUCUGAGCUAACAUGUUGAUAAUCAAAGAGUACAUAAUCUGUACAUGAAUAGAAUAAUUCUGAAACUUCUUACUCAUAUCCAUUGCAUAAAGGAAAUGCAAAGGUAAGAUACUUGCCUGAUUCGCUGAUUACAAAUCUCAACUUAGGUUCUAUCUCUUUAUAUCAUAACCUAUCAUUAAUCAGAUCAUUCGUUCGGUUAGAACAAUAUAUCAUAACACAUAGUACUGUCUAUUAUAGUCAGCACAUAGUCUAAUCACGUCAUCACAUAAUCGCAUUGAU